AUUACUCCUACGGGAGGCAGCAGUGGGGAAUUUUGCGCAAUGGGCGAAAGCCUGACGCAGCAACGCCGCGUGAGGGAUGAAGGCUCUCGGGUUGUAAACCUCUUUCAGCAGGAACGAAAUUGACGGUACCUGCAGAAGAAGCUCCGGCCAACUACGUGCCAGCAGCCGCGGUAAUAAU
rnacentral:rRNA from 1 species